rnacentral:rRNA from 1 species
UACGGGGGGGGCAAGCGUUGUUCGGAGUUACUGGGCGUAAAGGGUUUGUAGGUGGCUUGUUAAGUCAGACGUGAAAUCCCUCAGCUUAACUGGGGAACUGCGUCUGAGACUGGUGAGCUUGAGUGCAGGAGAGGAACGCGGAAUUCCAGGUGUAGCGGUGAAAUGCGUAGAUAUCUGGAGGAACACCGGUGGCGAAGGCGGCGUUCUGGACUGCAACUGACACUGAUGAACGAAAGCCAGGGGAGCAAACGGG